rnacentral:rRNA from 1 species
CAGCCAUGCCGCGUGUAUGAAGAAGGCCUUCGGGUUGUAAAGUACUUUCAGCGAGGAGGAAGGCGGUGAGGUUAAUAACCUCAUCGAUUGACGUUACUCGCAGAA